AGAUAUGCGUUGAUGCCGGAGGUUGCGCUCCUACCCAGAGCGGUAAUUUCGGCGGAGUAUGUCCGAUUUCAAACCGGGCGA
rfam:Clostridium sp.CAG:217_53_7 isolate CAG:217_53_7 Ley3_66761_scaffold_16952, whole genome shotgun sequence.